ACUUAGCAUCAGUUGCAUUUUCUCUGUUACUGCCACUCCUGUACCCGGCAUCAUGCGCAUGUUCAGACUGACGGUGGUCACAUUGCUGGCUGCAGCUUGCUGUACACUAACAGAUGGAGCUAUCAGCAUCACGUGUUAAC